CGUACUACGCUCACAUUCGACUACCCUCGUGCUUCAUCCCCGCGCUACAUCGUGUUUCCCGAUCGUGAUACCGCAUGUGAUAUUCAAGCGAAUCAAGUUAUUCACUUCAACAAGCGCGCGCAAGGAACCUGUAAACUUGUGCGCGGUCGACGAGAAAUCGAUUGUUAAAAGCGGUCGAAAUGAAUGGUUCUUCUACUAUUCCGCACUUGCUGAGAACGAAUUUCGGUGUGCUCUAAAUUUCUUCCGCUACAAAAAGAUUCAAAAAUUUUUUUCCAGAAUUGAUAUACAUUAAUACAUAUCUGUGAGGUGGAGUCUAUGCUGACAAUGAGAACAACAAAAAAUUUCGAAAUUGAGAUUGAUUUUUAUCAUUUCUUAAUCCAAUAUGGCGCUUCAGAACUGUCACGUCGUACAACAUUUGCUUCAUAUAAAAGCUGUGCAAUCUGUAUUUACGAAAUAGUAGUUCACAGACUAGUAGUUUGUAUGAAGAACAGUGGAAUUCUUAAAAUUAAACUUAGACAUCUAAU